rnacentral:rRNA from 1 species
CAUUAAUGAAUAAACUUGGUUAAGUUGUUGCUGGCUCUUUGGAGCAUGUGCACGCUUACUCCAUCUUUAACCACCUGUGCACCCUCUGUAGAUCUGUGAAUUCGAGGAAUAGUUGAUUUGCUGAGCGAAAGCCAGCUUUCCCUUCCUAGUGUGAUCAGAUUUAUGUCUUUAUAUACCCCAUAUGAAUGUAUUCGAAUGUUAUAAUUGGCUUCGUGCCAUUUAAAUCAAAUACAACUUUCAACAACGGAUCUCUUGGCUCUCGCAUCGAUGAAGAACGCAGCGAAAUGCGAUAAGUAAUGUGAAUUGCAGAAUUCAGUGAAUCAUCGAAUCUUUGAACGCACCUUGCGCUCCUUGGUAUUCCGAGGAGCAUGCCUGUUUGAGUGUCAUGAAAUUCUCAACCUUUCCGGCUUUUUCAAAAGCUAGUUGGGCUUGGAUUAUGGAAGUUGCUGGUUCUUAAAAAUCAGCUCUUCUCAAAUAUAUUAGCAGUCCUUUGCUGACGAUCAUUGGUAUGAUAAUUAUCUAUACCACUGAGAAACAGCCUCCCUAGUGGAGAGGUUCGGCUUCUAAUCGUCCUUACAAGACAAUUUGACAACUUUGGCCUCAAAUCAGGUAGGACUACCCGCUGAACUUAAG